UACGUAGGGCGCAAGCGUUAUCCGGAAUUAUUGGGCGUAAAGAGCUCGUAGGCGGUCUGUCGCGUCGGAUGUGAAAACCCAGGGCUCAACCCUGGGCCUGCAUUCGAUACGGGCAGACUAGAGUUCGGUAGGGGAGACUGGAAUUCCUGGUGUAGCGGUGAAAUGCGCAGAUAUCAGGAGGAACACCGGUGGCGAAGGCGGCCUGCUGGGCCGAUCCUGACGCUGAGGCGCGAAGGCGUGGGGAGCGAACGGG
rnacentral:rRNA from 1 species